rnacentral:rRNA from 1 species
AUGCUGCUCGCGUGGUCCUGGCUGGCCGCGGCGGCCGGGAAGAAGGACGGGGGGAGGGUGCUCAUGCGGGCCGCCGUGCACAGCCUCACGGCGUACCUUGCCGUCAUCAGCGUGCUCUGCUUCUGGGGAAACCACUCCUUCUGGGGCGUGGCGCUCGCUGUAGGCGCUGCGCUCCACUUCCUCUACGUCAUGUCAGUGAUUGAUAGAUUUCCAUUUACAAUGCUAGUACUGCAAAAGGCAAUAAAGAUGGUCUGGGAACUUCCAGAUGUGAUGAGAGUAGCAUAUGCAUUUGUACUGGCAAUGCUUUGUUGGAUGGCAUUAUGGUCCUUCGGAGUUUCUGGCAUUGUUGCUAUGCCCAUACCGAAUUGUGGGCAAUGGUGGCUUGUUCUGGCUUUAUCAGUCAGUUUGUUUUGGACUGGAGCUGUCCUUAGUAAUACAGUCCAUGUCAUAGUAUCAGGAAUGGUGUUCCUUGUUCUCAUUCAUGGUGGACAAGCUGCUGCGUCGAUGCCCCCCAAACCACUUCUAAAGUCACUUCAGUAUGCUGUUACAACUUCUUUUGGAAGCAUUUGCUAUGGAUCACUCUUUACGGCUGCCAUUAGGACUUUACGUUGGGAGAUUAGAGGAGUUCGUUCUAAAAUUGGCAACAACGAGUGUCUUCUGUGCUGUGUUGAUUUUUUCUUUCAUAUUGUGGAGACGCUUGUUCGUUUCUUCAACAAAUAUGCAUAUGUACAGAUAGCUGUCAACGGACAGAGUUUCAAUCGUUCAGCUAGGGAUGCUUGGGAGCUGUUCCAGUCGACUGGCAUUGAAGCACUUAUUGCUUAUGAUUGUUCUGGUGCUGUUCUUUUGAUGAGCACAAUAUUAGGUGGGUUAAUUACAGGAACUUGUACUGGUGUUUGGACAUAUUUCACACAACGUGAUAAAGCAAUUAUGGUUGGCUCGACCUCUAUGCUGAUUGGCAUGAUACUGGUUGGGCUAGCUGUCGUGGUUGUUGAAAGCGCAGUUACAUCAAUAUACAUAUGCUAUGCUGAGGACCCUCUUCUAAUUCAGAGAUGGGAUCCUGAAUUUUUUGAGCAAAUGUCAGAAGCACUGCACCAGCGACUGCAGUACCGAAGCUCCAGAGCCCGCCAAAUACUGAACGGUCGGCUUGAUCAUUUGCCAGAUACAUCAAGUAUUUGA